GGAUUAGAUACCCUGGUAGUCCACGCAGUAAACGAUGAGUGCUAGGUGUCGGAAUUUUUCGGUGCCGUAGUUAACGCGUUAAGCACUCCGCCUGAGGAGUACGGCCGCAAGGCUAAAACUUAAAGGAAUUGACGGGGACCCGCACAAGCGGUGGAACAUGUAGUUUAAUUCGAUGAUACGCGAAAAACCUUACCAGGUCUUGACAUGUUGGUCAUAUGCUAAGCAAUUAGCAGUCAGUUCGGCUGGACCAUCACAGGUGCUGCAUGGCUGUCGUCAGCUCGUGCCG
rnacentral:rRNA from 1 species